rnacentral:miRNA from 1 species
AGGCCCGGCUCUCAGGACUGCU